rnacentral:rRNA from 1 species
GUCCAGACCCUACGGGAGGCAGCAGUGGGGAAUAUUGCACCAUGGGCGCAAUCCUGCUGCAGCCAUGCCGCGUGUAUGACGACGGCCUUCGGGUUUUCCCGUACUUUCAGCUUUGAGGAAGGUGUUGCGGUUAAUCCCCUCCGCAAUUGCCUUUCCCCGCAGACUCCUCCCCGGCUACCUCCUUGCCAGCAUCCUCGGUAAUACGUCGGUUUCAAGCGUUACUCGGAAUUACUGGGCGUAAAGCGCACGCAGGCGGUCGGUCAAGUCAGAGGGGAAAUCCCCGGGGGCAACCGGGGAACUGCAUUCGAAACUGGCAGGCUGGAGUCUUGUAGAGGGGGUUAGAAUGCCAGGUGUAGCGGUGAAAUGCGUAGAGAGAGGGAGGAAUACCGGUGGCGAAGGCGGCCCCCUGGACAAAGACUGACGCUCAGGUGCGAAAGCGUGGGGAGCAAACAGGAUUAGAUACCCGCGUA